AUGCAAGCGUUAUCCGGAUUUAUUGGGCGUAAGAAGUAUGUAGGCGGUUAUUAAAGUCUGCAGUGAAAUCUCUAGGCUUAACUUAGAAACUGCCGCGGAUACUUAAUUUCUGGAGAGUAGUGGAGGAGAAUGGAAUUCUCGGUGUAGCGGUAAAAUGUGUUGAUAUCGAGAGGAACACCAGAGGCGAAAGCGAUUCUCUAUACUGACUCUGACGCUGAGAUACGAAAGCUAGGGUAGCGAAAGGGAUUAGAGACCCCUGUAGUCCUAGCCGUAAACGAUGAAUGCUAGAUGUCAGAGGUAUCGACCCCUCUGGUGUCGCAGUUAACGCGUUAAGCAUUCUGCCUGGGGAGUACGGCCGCAAGGCUAAAACUCAAAGGAAUUGACGGGGACCCGCACAAGCAGCGGAGCGUGUGGUUUAAUUCGAUGAUGCACGAAGAAUCUCACCAAGGCUUGACAUAUAAGUGGUAGUGAAGUGAAAGCGGAACGACCCUUCGGGGAGCUUAUACAGGUGCUGCAUGGCUGUCGUCAGCUCGUGCCGUGAGGUGUAUGGUUAAGUCCCAUAACGAGCGCAACCCCUGUGGUAUGUUAUAUCUUUCAUGCCAAACUGCCAAGGUUAACUUGGGGGAAGGUGGGGAUGACGUCAAGUCAGCAUGGCCUUUAUGUCUUGGGCUACACACACGCUACAAUGGCUAGUACAAUGGGUUUGCCAAGCCGUGAGGUGGAGCUAAUCUUAUCAAAGCUAGCCUCAGUUCAGAUUGGAGUCUGAAACUCGACUCCAUGAAGUUG
rnacentral:rRNA from 1 species